rnacentral:rRNA from 1 species
AUUGAACGCUGGCGGCAUGCCUUACACAUGCAAGUCGAACGGUAACAGGUCUUCGGAUGCUGACGAGUGGCGAACGGGUGAGUAAUACAUCGGAACGUGCCUAGUAGUGGGGGAUAACUACUUGAAAGAGUGGCUAAUACCGCAUGAGAUCUACGGAUGACAGCAGGGGAUCGCAAGACCUUGUGCUACUAGAGCGGCCGAUGGCAGAUGAGGUAGUUGGUGGGAUAAAAGCUUACCAAGUCGACGAUCUGUAGAUGGUCUGAGAGGACGAUCAGCCACACUGAGACUGAGACACGGCCCAGACUCCUACGGGAGGCAGCAGUGGUGAAUUUGGGACAAUGGGCGCAAGCCUGAUCCAGCAAUGCCGCGUGCAGGAUGAAGGCCUUCGGGUUGUAAACUGCUUUUGUACGGAACGAAAAGCCCUGGGUUAAUACCCUGGGGUCAUGACGGUACCGUAAGAAUAAGCACCGGCUAACUACGUGCCAGCCGCCGCAGUAACAC